CUUGCUCGAAACGAAAGUGUUAUUUAAUAUUAAAAAGGACGGAUUUUUUUCCGUUUCUCAUUUUUAUUGCUAUUAUUUACAGCAUUUUCGCUCAUUUUUUGUUUCACUUUGUUAAAAAUAUUUAAAAUUCUUUAGAUUAUUCUAGAAUUGUAGAACACUAUAGCAAAUAAAAUCAAAUUAAUUUAAUGAAAUAGAUUUUGAUUUGAAAAUGUGAAUUGAAGUGCAAAUACAUAAAAAAUAUAAGUAAAUUUAUUAAAAAGAAGAUUUUUGUGUCAACAAGGAUAAAAUAUGCUCCUUUUCUGAAACUUCAUUAAUAUUAAAAAACUAACUAAGUUGCUAAUCCUUUAUAAUUAAAACAUGUGGAAAUGCAUAAUGAUGGGGAAUCAUUACCAGUGGUACCAAGAAUAAUUUAUUAUUGUUAAAUAUUUCUGAAAUAUUUAAAAAUCAUAAAAGAAAAGUUCUAAAAUUUUUAGUAAAUAUUAAACCUAAGCUUGAAUUAUCUUAAUAAUUUCUAUCAUAUACACUGAAACUAUUUAUUUAAGAAAAUAUUGCAAUUAUAAAGUUACUUGAAUUUUGUAAUUAAAUGUAACCUAAAUAUUUUUUUGCAAUUUUUGCAAGAGUUUACUUCUUUUUGGUAAUUAAUUUAAAAGUGACUGAAUUUAGGUACAUAUUAUAAUUAUGAUUUCAAAAUUAAAGUUAAUUGGUAAAAAUACUAUGUUUAAGAAAAUAAUCGCAUAAUACAUACAUAUAUAUAUAAAUCACAACACAAACUUAACAAAAAAGUAACAAACUGUAAAGGAUUUUUUUCUUGUUAAUGGCGUAUAUAAGAAGAAUGAAGAUACACCCCAGUGUAUUAGUAUUGCUGUGGCGAAGAAAACUUUCAAUUAUUCUGUUGUCAUCCGCAUUAAUUUUAUUAGCUCUUUGGUCUUGGGCUAUUUAUAAUACUGCCAAUUCUAGUAUUGGUGAAAAAUUUAUAUUAAUUAAAGAUUAUAAUCCAACGCAAACAAAACAAGAAUUUUUUUUGCAGCGUCUUAUAUCUCAAGCUAAUCAAAUUCUACGUUAUCAAAGAAAACAAAAUUUUGGAGGGGUAGAUUUAGUAAAUUUAGAUCAAACGAAAACUCCAUCUCCAGUUGCACCAAUCAUGGAAAACAACCCGUAUCAAGAAGAGCAUUUGCGUAUAUUGCAAGAUCAACAGAAAAUUAAUCAACCUGCUGAACAACCUGACGAUGUAGAUAUUAAUUAUGACCAAAUUUUGACAUCAGCUGAACGUCAAGGGCAAUACGAACGUGAACUACAAAGAAUGGGAGUUCCGAUUAUUCCGGGUCUAGGCCCAGGUGGACCAAGACCGCCACAUGAAAGGUUAAUACACCUUGAUUUAAAAGGUGCUCCACCAAAGCUUUCAUUUUUGAAACGUUUGCUCCCAAUUUUGAAAACUAUUGGUGCUACCGGUCUGCUGAUUGAAUAUGAAGAUAUGUUUCCGUACACUGGAUCUUUGCAAUCGUUAGCUGCUAAAAAUGCUUAUAAACCUGAGGAACUAAAGGAUUUCCUUGAAUCUGUCAUACAGAAUGGAUUAUCUGUGAUGCCAUUAGUACAGACUUUUGGUCAUUUGGAAUACGCACUAAAAUUAGAUGGGUUUGAGCAAAUGCGUGAAAUUGUUGAAAGUCCACAAUCGAUUUGUCCUAGCAACACACAAUCUUUAAGAUUCUUAGAAGACAUGAUAACGCAAAUUGUAGAAUUCCAUAUGGAUUUAAAUCGAAAUUCUAGUUUGAGUGGUAACCGCAGCAGUUUAUUAUUGUCACCUUCUACAGUGGCUGCAUCUUCAAAUACAAAUUUAAAUAUAAACACAAAUUUUAAAAACAAUGUAAACACAACAAUAUCACAUAAUAACAAUGACGAAAAUGGUGGUGUAUCAUCACCACGUCGCCAGCGUUUGUCAACGCCUCAAUAUUUUACACAUAUUCAUAUUGGAUGUGAUGAAGUCUUUAGAAUGGCCGAAUGUGAUAAAUGCCGUCUUAAAUCUAGAAAUGAAUUAUUUUUAUCUCAUAUUACAUCACUUGGAAGUUUUAUAAAAACAAAGUGGCCAGCUUUAGUACCAGUUAUUUGGGAUGAUAUGCUUCGUGAUAUAACUUUAAGUGAAAUGCAACAUUCACAAAUUGGUUUAUAUGUAGAACCCAUGAUUUGGGUUUAUGUUAAUGAUUUAUAUCAUUACAUUCCGCCACAAUUGUGGGAUAUUUAUUCUAAAAUAUUCCCAACAGCUUGGGCUGCAUCAGCAUUUAAAGGUGCUUUCGGUGAAAAUUUAAUGAUUCCCCCAAUACAACGACAUUUAGAAAAUAAUUUGAGAUGGUUGGCUGUUAUUGCAAAGGAAGGUGAAAGAUUUUCAAAAGGUUUUCGAGGAAUUACGCUAACAGGUUGGCAAAGAUACGAUCAUUUCGCUGUAUUAUGUGAACUAUUACCAACUGGUUUACCAAGUCUCUUGACUUGUUUGUCAGCUACGUCUAAAGGGUAUUUUGCAACUGAUGCAAAGGAUAAUGAAAUUAUGAAUGUAUUAGAUUGUGCCAAUCGUCCCGAUUAUCGACGUUCUGGUCAUGCUUGGUUAGAACUACAGGCUGGUUCAAAGCAUAAACAUCAGCUUUAUUCUUCCUGUUCAUACCCAGGAAGCUCAACCUAUAAAUUUAUGUUACGUUUAAGUGAAAAAUUAACUGAAAUUGAUGCCUAUUUACAACAUGUCAGGAGAAAAAGUGCUUGGAUGUCAGAAUACAAUAUACGACAUAAUUUUAGCUCACCUUUAAGAGUUCAAGAGCUAACAAAUAACAACCAAAACUUUAUUGAUCAAUUGGUAAAUAUGGCUAAAGAAAGUCAAACAGUCAUGGCUGAAAUAUACGAUGAAUCUCAUUGUUAACAUUUUUUGUCGCAUAUAAUAAACAUUAUGCGGUCCAAUUUUCAAUGGGGAAAAAUUUUCUAAUAAAACAAUUUUCCAACGUUGCAAGUUAUUAGUCUGCCUAUUUCUUCUCCCUAGUUUUUGAUUUUAAACAGGACUUUGAUAAAGUCGACAGAGCGAAAAUAUUUACAGUGAUGCAGAGACUCGGAAUACCAGAUAAACCGAUACGAGUUAUUGCCGUAACACUGAAAAACAACACUGCGAGGGUAUUGAUUUAAGGCAAGUUAGCCAGCGCGUUUGGAACAGAAUCUGGUGUCCAAACUUAUUUUUAACUUAAUGCUACAUUAUGCGAUUAGAGGAAUUGACACUGGAGGUGCAAUUUUCAUAAAGACGAUACAGAUAUGUUUCUAUGUGGAUGAUAUCAUAAUACUAGCGCGUAAUAUUGUACAUGUAAAAGAAACUUUCAUUAAAUUAGUUGAAACCACUGCAAACAUUUGCCUAGAAAUAAAUGAGCCAAAAACUAAAUAUUUUGUCAAAAGUAGAACGGUGAGAAUAUUUGGGCGUUUGCUUUUUAAAUAUAAACGACUGUGCCGUAGCAAUUAAAGAACGCAUCAAUGCGGCUAAUACAUGUUAUUUUGCCCAUAUUUAAUUAUUGAAGUGAAGAAUACUGACGAGGUCCACAAAGCUUAAGAUUUACAAGACAUUAAUUAAACCUGUACUUAUCUAACGAAGUGAGGUAUGAAAUUUAAAGGCUUCCGAAUGCAAUCUGCUCUUAAUAUUCGAAAUGAAAAUAUUAGGGAGAAUAUAUGGACCACUAAGGUGAACGGACCGUAUAUCAUAUACAGAAUCAGGUUCAGAAUACAGAAACGGACCGUAUACAGAAUCAGGUUCAGUAUCGAAUUAGAGGAUUUAAUGCAAUAUAAAAACAUCAUUCGGUUCCUGAAGUCGCAAAAAGAAGGGCCACGUUAUUCGAAUGCCAAGGGAAAAUAUAAUAAAGAAAAUAUUUUCAGAAAGAAAAAUGGAAGUGACUAACUACAAUACGUUAGCGCUAGAUUGUAAGAGAUGGAAGAAGUAAGGAGAGGAAGCUUUGGCCCACACAGGGCUGUAAUGCUAAGAAAGAAGACGAAGGAGUUAUUAGACUAUCCGUCAUAUCUAUUAUUGGGAGGUUGAUCCAUAUAGAGCGUCAUUUAUCAUCACGGGAUCGCACAAUAAAAAAACUUAAACUACUUGUACUAAAUUAUACUGAAAUUUAAAUUUUUAAUAUCAACAUAGAAAGUAAUAUAAAAGAAAUAAUAGAGUCAUACAAAAAAAUAUAAAAUGAUUUUUUUGAAGAAAUUUAGCUACGUUUUUCUGUUACUAAAUCUUCGAAAUUUGGCUGAAUUUAAUUGGCAGUUGUAAUUUUUAAUAUUGACCGAAUAUGUUGAUCUUGAUCUAUCACCCGUUUUAUUAUUUUUUAAUAUCGAAACAAUUGUUCACAAAAAUAUGUGCUUCCGAACAUGACUAAAAACAUUUUUUUAUCAGCAGUAAUUGAAUAUAUCCAAUAGUAAUUGAAAUAUUGGAAAAUUGACUUAUAGUACACUAUAUCUGAAUACAUUGAACAACAUAUUUAUCCAACAAUUCGUGAACUUCGCCAACAUUUGGAAGAAGCAAGAAAGUUGUUAACUAUAAAAACUUGGCCAAGACGCCCUUUGCCAUACGCAAAAGAGCUUG